UUAUAAUUGAUUUUAAUAAUUUAUUUUUUUUUUUUUUUAGUAUUUUAAGAAAUAAUUUUUUUAUUUUUACUGUCAAGUAUUUUAUUCAAAAAGUUAAUAUAAUUAAUUAGUACCUUUUGUAUCAGGGUUGAUUUAAUUUAUUAUUUAUUUUUUUUUCCCGAAAAAUGGAUAUCUAUAUUAAGUUUUUUUUUAUUGUUGAAUUAAUAUUAAUAAUCUUAUUAUGGUAGUGAUAUUCUAUCCGUUCCUUUAUUAUAUCUGGUUAUUUAGGAUUUCAAUUUAAUUGAAAAUUAAUGUUUAUUAUUUUUUUUUUAUUUUUUAAUUUUAUAUAAUUUGGGAUAAUCUUUUUUAUUGUUUAAAAUUUUUAAUAUUAAAUUAUUUUUUAUUUUAAAAUCUUUUAUUUAGUUCUUAAUAGAUUAUAAUUUAUUUUUAUAAUUUUUUUUUAUUUAUAUUUUUACUAAAUUAUUUUAUUUAAUUUUUAUUUAUAUUUAUUAAUGAUUAAAUUAGUAUAAUUUUUUAUUAUAAUUUAAUUAACUCGACAAAUUUAAUCUUCAACUGUUUAUCAAAAACAUUUCUUUUAGGUUUAUAUUAAAGGUAAAUUCUGCCCUAUGAUUUAUAAUUAAAUGGCUGCAGUAUUUUGACUGUGCAAAGGUAGCAUAAUCAUUAGUCAUUUAAUUGUUGACUUGUAUGAAUGGAUAAAUGAGGGAUUUAUUUUUUUAAUUUUAUUAUUAAAAUUUUAUUUUUAAGUAAAAAAGCUUAAUUAGUUUUUAGGGACGAAAAGACCCUAUAGAACUUUAUUAUAUUUAACUUUUUAAAUUUUUAGUUAUAUUUUUAUUAGUAUUUUAUUUAUUUUUUUAUUGGGGUGAUAAAUAAAUUUUAACUUUAUUUUAGUUUUUCAUUAAUUUAUGAUUUUUUAGAUCCUUUUUUUGGAUUGUAAGUUUUAGUUACCUUAGGGAUAACAGCGUAAUUUUAAUGGGGAGUUCAUAUUUAUAUUAAAGUUUGCGACCUCGAUGUUGAAUUAAGAUAAGUAUAAGGGGUAGGUUUUUUAUUACUAAGUCUGUUCGACUUUUAAAUUCUUACAUGAUUUGAGUUCAAACCGGUGUGAGCCAGGUUGGUUUCUAUCUUAAAAUUAAUUUUCUUUAUAGUACGAAAGGACCUAGGGAAUCAAUAUUUUUUGUUUUUAUAGAAUUUUAUU
rnacentral:rRNA from 1 species